UACGUAGGGUGCAAGCGUUAAUCGGAAUUACUGGGCGUAAAGCGUGCGCAGGCGGUUAUAUAAGACAGUUGUGAAAUCCCCGGGCUCAACCUGGGAACUGCAUCUGUGACUGUAUGGCUAGAGUUUGGCAGAGGGGGGUAGAAUUCCACGUGUAGCAGUGAAAUGCGUAGAUAUGUGGAGGAACACCGAUGGCGAAGGCAGCCCCCUGGGUCAAGACUGACGCUCAUGCACGAAAGCGUGGGGAGCAAACAGG
rnacentral:rRNA from 1 species